CUGAUCAGCAUGCCGCGUGUGUGAAGAAGGCCUUCGGGUUGUAAAGCACUUUAAGUUGGGAGGAAAAGCUAAGGGUUAAUAGCCUUUAGUGUUGACGUUACCAACAGAAUAAGCACCGGCUAACUCCGUGCCAGCAGCCGCGGUAAUA
rnacentral:rRNA from 1 species